AUGCCUUAAACUUAUGAGUAAGGAAAAUAACAAUUUGGGGUGGUGCCAAAUCCUCACUGCUAAUGUGAGACAAAUUUUUGCAAGGGUAAGGGAUGUCUUCCUAUUAACCCACCUACUUUACGGGAUGCUGGAGUGGAGAGAUCUGCCCU